rnacentral:rRNA from 1 species
CAGCAGCCACGGUAAUACGAAGGGUGCAAGCGUUACUCGGAAUUACUGGGCGUAAAGCGUGCGUAGGUGGUGGUUUAAGUCCGUUGUGAAAGCCCUGGGCUCAACCUGGGAAUUGCAGUGGAUACUGGGCCACUAGAGUGUGGUAGAGGAUAGUGGAAGUUCCGGUGUAGCAGUGAAAUGCGUAGAGAUCGGAAGGAACAUCUGUGGCGAAGGCGACUAUCUGGGCCAACACUGACACUGAGGCACGAAAGCGUGGGGAGCAAACAGGAUUAGAGACCCCCGUAGUCCCUGUCUCUUAUAC